rnacentral:lncRNA from 1 species
CUCACCUCUGCACCUAAUCCACCCUGCACAUCUUUGCAAUCUCCACUCAUCUGCAUCUCCCUCUCUGCCCUUCCUAAGUUAAAUGUCCCUAGUGUUGUCAUGUACCUCUCAAUCAGAGCACUGCUCACUAUUACAGACUCAGAAUCCAGCAGCACCUGGCACAUAGAGGGGACUCCACAAAUAUGUAUUGAAUAUUGAUGUGUUAGUCCAUUCUCACAUUGCUAUAAAGAAACAUCUAGGACUGUGUAUUUUAUAUUUAAUAAAAGAAGUUUAAUUGGCUCAUGGUUCUGCAGGCUGUACAGGAAACACAUUCGCUUCUGCUUCUGGGGAGACCUCAGGAAACUUCCAAUCAUGGCAGAAGGCAAAGGGGGAGCAGAUGUCUUACACGGAAGAAGCAGGAGCAAGGCGGAGUGGGGGCAGGAGGCACUGCACACUUUUAACCAACCAGAUCUUAUGAGAACUCACUCACUGUCACAAGGACAGUACCAAGAGGAUGGUGCUAAACCAUUCAUGAGAAAUCUGUCUCCAUGAUCCAAUCACCUCCCACCAAGCCCCACCUCCAACAAUGGGGAUUACAAUUUAACAUGAGAUUUGGGCAAGAACACAGUUCCAAACCAUAUUAAUUGGCUAUUGCUGUGGUUUUUAAAAAUGAUUUUAAAUUUUUUUAAAGAAAAAGAAACCAAAUACCACAUGUUCUCACUUACAAGUGGGAGCUAAAUGAUGAGAACUCAUGAACACAAAGGAAGGAACAAGUGCCACCACACCUGGCUAAUUUUUGAAUUUUUACUAGAGACAAGGUUUCACCAUGUUGGCCAGGCUGGUCUCAAACUCCCGACCUCAGGUAAUCUGUCUGCCUUGGUCUCCCAAACUGCUGGGAUUACAGGCAUGAGCCAAUGCAACCUGCCUAAAACUACUUCUUUUGGUUGAGUUUUACAUUGAAGGUAUUUGGAUAAUGAGUGUAAAUAGCAAAUGGCUCUGCAGAGUGUUUAAUCCCCCACCUUAUACUACCGAUUUUGUGUAAAUCCAGUUUUAAUGCAUCAGGCUUCCUCAAGGGUUGCACAUCACUAAUUUGAACAAAGUCAGAGGUAUCUUAUGUUAUGUACCUCCUUUUCCCACCUUCAUCAGUCCAUGAGUAGAAGGGGAGACACAUAUAAUGCCAAAUAGCACAUGAUACAAAAGCAUCAAGUAACCUAAGUACUUCCCAAAUCCAAGAAAAACUUUUUUGACCCUAGAUUUCUAUGUCCAGAGGAACCACCAAGCCAAUGUGAGAGCAAA